rnacentral:rRNA from 1 species
CCUACGGGAGGCUGCAGUGAGGAAUAUUGGUCAAUGGGCGGAAGCCUGAACCAGCCAAGUAGCGUGCAGGAUGACGGCCCUACGGGUUGUAAACUGCUUUUAUACGGGAAUAACGCGCCUUACGUGUAGGGCUUUGCAUGUACCGUAUGAAUAAGGACCGGCUAAUUCCGUGCCAGCAGCCGCGGUAAUACGGAAGGUCCGGGCGUUAUCCGGAUGUAUUGGGUUUAAAGGGCGCGCAGGCCGCAUGUCAAGCGUGCUGUGAAAUGGCCGGGCGCAACCCGGGCCUUGCAGCGCGAACUGGCGUGCUUGAGUCCGCGGAGGGCAGGCGGAAUUCGUGGUGUAGCGGUGAAAUGCUUAGAUAUGACGAAGAACCCCGAUUGCGAAGGCAGCUUGCUGCAGCGGAACUGACGCUGAUGCUCGAAAGCGCGGGUAUCGAACAGGAUUAGAUACCCCGGUAGUC